AUCUUUCCAGUUCAUGAGCGUGAUGAUUGGUGCGUUCACGGACCUCCGUGAAAGGUGCGGCCUCACCUUGUUACGCAGCGCGCCUCAGCCCGUCUGACC
ensembl:snoRNA